GAUAGGUUUGAGGUGGAAGCAUGGUGACAUGUGGAGCUGACAAAUACUAAUCGGUCGAGGACUUAACCAAA
rnacentral:rRNA from 1 species